rnacentral:rRNA from 1 species
UAAGUAGAUCUUUAUAAUUUAUUUUUUAUAAUUGUGUUUAUUUGAAUCAUUAUUUUGUUUUUGUAAUUGUUUUUGAUGAAAUUAUUUUAUUAUAGUUAAUUAGUACAGUAAGGGAAAAUUAUUAUUAUUUUCUUAAAAGAUGACUUUGUUGGUUGUACCUUGUGUGUCAGGGUUUAAUGAAAAUUACUUAUUUAAUUUAUGUUUCUCGAUCUUAUAGGAGUUAAUAACAUAUAAUUUGUAUUAUUACAUAAAUAUUUUUAAUUUGUUUUUGGUAGUGAAAUGCUAUUCGAUUUUAAAGGUAUCUAGUUUUUCAAGAAAUGAAUUUAAUUCAUAUGUGUAAGUUUGAUGUUUUAUUUUGUAAAAUUUUUUUAUUACAUGUAAUUAUUGUUGGGGAAAAGCUUGAUAAUUUAAUGUUUAUAACGUUUAUGUAUAGAUUAUAUUUUGUGGAUUUUGAAUUGAUUAUCUUUUUGAGGAUGUAAAAUUUUUAUUUAUGCUUAUAUUUAUUUAUUUUUGGGUUUAGUAUUUUUAUUGAAUAGAAAUAUUUAAUUUUUUAUUAUUUAUUAUUAUUUUAUUAUUAGUAAAUUAUUUUUGUUUGGUUGAAUUGUUUAUAAAUUAAUUUGGCAAGAUUAUUUGUUCGACUGUUUAUCAAAAACAUUUUUUUUUGAUUUUAUUUAAAGUAUGACCUGCCCACUGAUUUUAAUUGAAUGGCCGCGGUAUUUUGACCGUGCUAAGGUAGCAUAAUCAUUAGUCUUUUAAUUGUAGACUGGAAUGAAAGGUUAAACGGAAUGAAUUCUGUUUCUAUAAUAGUUUAAUUGAAUUUGGUUAUUGGGUUAGAAGACUUAAAUUUUGUUAUGGGACGAGAAGACCCUAUAGAGUUUUAUAUUACUAUAUUAUUUUUGUUAAUUAGUUAUGUUGUUUAUAAUAAUAUUUUGUUGGGGUGACUAUAAGAUAAAUGAAGCUCUUUUAAUUUUUAGUAAACUGAUUUGUUUGCUUUUGAUCCUUAUUAGUGAUUAUGAGACUAAAUUACCUUAGGGAUAACAGCGUUAUUUUUUUUGAGAGUUCUAAUUGACGAGAAAGAUUGCGACCUCGAUGUUGGAUUAAGUUAAAUUUUGGGGGUAGAAUUUCAAUAUAUUGAGUCUGUUCGACUUUUGAAAACUUACAUGAUCUGAGUUCAAACCGGUGUGAGCCAGGUUGGUUUCUAUCUAUAAUAUAUAAAAUAUUUUAGUACGAAAGGACCAUUUAUUUUAAAUAAUUUGUUAUUUUGUGUCUAUUUUUAAUUUGUA